rnacentral:rRNA from 1 species
CCAGACUCCUACGGGAGGCAGCAGUGGGGAAUAUUGGGCAAUGGGCGCAAGCCUGACCCAGCAAGGCCGCGUGAAGGAAGAAGGCUUUCGGGUUGUAAACUUCUUUUCUCAGGGACGAAGAAAGUGACGGUACCUGAGGAAUAAGCCCCGGCUAACUACGUGCCAGCAGCCGCGGUAAUACGUAGGGGGCAAGCGUUAUCCGGAUUUACUGGGUGUAAAGGGAGCGUAGACGGAAAGGCAAGUCAGAAGUGAAAGCCCGAGGCUCAACCAUGGGACUGCUUUUGAAACUGUCAAUCUAGAGUACGGGAGAGAUAAGAGGAAUUCCUAGUGUAGCGGUGAAAUGCGUAGAUAUUAGGAGGAACACCAGUGGCGAAGGCGUCUUACUGGACCGAAACUGACGUUGAGGCUCGAAAGCGUGGGGAGCAAACAGGAUUAGAUACCCCAGUAA